AAACUCAAAGGUAAUGGUAUAAAGCUGGAAUAAAAACUACAGGGUGUCCCAAAAAUGUUGUUACACCUUGAAAGGGGUGGUUCGGGAGGUGAUUUAAAACAACUUUUUCCUUAGCGAAAAUGUUGUCCGAGACUUCGUUAAGCAGAUAUUAACAAAAAACCCCGACCAAUCAGAGCGCGCGUAUACCGUUGGAGCAGCCGCGGUAGCGUAUGAGCGCAGCCGCCAAGCGCGUCGUAGGGUACGCUCAACCGGCAUACUCGCGCUCUGAUUAGUCGAGGUUUUCGCUUAAUAUCUCCUUACUGAAACCUCGGACAACAUUUUCGCUAAGGAAAAAGUUGUUUGAAAUUAGUGGUUGUCCUGAACCACCCUUUUCAAGGUGUUAUAACAUCUAUCUAUCUAUUUUAAAUAUUUCCGCGCGAACUGCGUUUGAAAUCGCCGCUUCUGAUUGGCCCACGCGAUUCAGGCAUUACCAAUGAAAUUCAAAGCUUGCGCUGUAGUCGUCCAGUCAAUCCAGUUGCUCGUGGAUCCACGUGGACGUGGAUCAAAACAUGCGAAAUUGAAGUUUUGAAAGUACCUUUUCGAGGAUAGUUUUGACUUGAUAUUAUGAACAAUUUUAAAGUGUAACAAAGUGCUUAAAAAUGAAUUAUGACAUAUCUAAUCUAACGGGAGUUCUGCGAUCUGUGUUUGGUUAUGAAAACUUCAAAAAUGACGUUCAGAAAGAAGCAACUAUCGCGAUCAGCACAGGUUCAGAGUAUGUGUGCAUAUCUAUGCCUCCUGGGUUCGGUAGAAAUCUUUGCUUUCAGUUACCAGUCAUUUCACAACAGGGCAAAGUCGGUGUAGUUUUUUCACCAAAGUUAUCUUUGAUGAAGAAACAUGUAGAUUUUUUAAGAGGCAAACACAUCAAUGCACGUUUAUUAAACAAGAGCUUAUUCGCUAACGAACGGAAAGCAAUUUUAAAAGACUUAACAUCGGAUACUCCUACAAUCGUAUUGUUGUAUUGCUCGCUUGAAAUAGUUAUGUGUCCAUAUUUUAAGAGUCUCAUGUUUUCAUUAAAAGAACGUAAAGUAUUGUCUUAUAUUGUGUUCGACGAAGCGCAUUGUUUAAGCAAAUGGGGAUAUGAAUAUAAACCUUCAUACAAAAAAAUAAGUGUAUUACAUGGUAUAUGUAUGGGUGUUCCUACAGUUUGGGUGACUACAACCGUUACAGACAUGGUGAUCGAAGACAUUUGCAAACUGUUGACACUGAAAGUUCCAAGAAUAUUUAGAAUACCGGUGCAACAAAUCAAUGUACAUCACGAUGUAUGGUUUGUAGACACACUUUCUAAUCCGUUAGAGCAUCUUAAAAGUUUUGUGAUAGAAGCACUUGGCUUCUUACAUUCGUCUACUCACAAGAUACAUACAGGUCUUGCCAUUGUUUACUGUAGAGAGGAAGUCACAGCAGAGUUAAUAAAAAACAAGUUAAACGCUUUUGGUAUACCCACUGUUACAUGUCACCACAAACAAAAUAAUAGCACACGACGUAAUGUAGAAAAUAUGUGGAUAUCUGGAGAAGCUACUGUUAUUACUACUACGUAUGAUUAUGGAUUCAUUUAUAAAAAACCAAUUAGAUGCACAGUCUACUGGACAGUACCUAAAAAUCUUAGCAAAUACUAUAGAAAAUCUGCGCAAACGUGUACAGAAAACGGCCAUACAUAUUGCAGAAUAUAUUUUAGCAUGAAGGAAUAUUCUUCUGUGAAGUUGUUGAUUGAAAAACACGAUACAAUCGACGAUUCGGCGCUUAUUAGAAAACAAUUAUGCGAGUAUGACAAGCUAGUCGAUUAUUGUUUAUCGAUCAAAUGUCGUCAUGCAGUUAUUAGCGAAUAUUUUGGGUAUACAACAAUGCCUUGCGAAACGAACUGUGAUGUUUGCAAAGACAAGGAAAUGGCGAAUAUAAGAACUCUUAAGUUUAUUACGUAUUCCAAAAAUGUAGGAGUUAAAUACAGUUGUGACUCAAACGAGGAUGAUAAAAAGCAAUCGAUGGAAAUUUUAGAAGAUAAUUUGAAUAAAUUCGAAAUUUCCUGUAAAAAAGAACCUGCUGCAGACAGGCUCGAUGAAAAGGGGAUUGUGCAAUGUAACGAUAACUUGGCAAUGAAUAAGCAAAAACCGUCGUCCAGCGAAAGUAGUUCAGUAGGCGCGCAAUUAUUUGUAAAGGACUCUUCACAAACUUCCAUGAAGGAUACGAUAAAAUGUGUCAGACGCAUUUCAAACGUAAUGAAUGCGUGUAAAUUGAGAACAAUGCAGGUGGAGAAGCACACCGUAAUCAAUGGGGCGAUAUCGUUCGUACCGCCAUCGUGUGGUUCUAAGAAUAAGGUUAACAAAAAAUCAGCAGAAAGAAUAAGUAGCACUCGAGUUUCCAGCGAACGAAAGGAAUUGAAAAACGAGUCGAGGACCAAUUCUGGAGACGUAAACAGCGUUGGUAGCAAGCAGGAGGUUCGAAAGAGGGAUCGAAUUUCAGAGAGCAUUUCGGGUCGAGAAGAAAGAACGAAACCUGAAAAUGGACAUGACGAUGAUAGUAUGCGAAAGAUCGAGAAGAGGGAUCGAAUUUCAAAGAGCGAUUCUUGCGAUGUCAUUGUCAUCUUCGAGGCGAUAGAACAAACGAGAAAACGAAAAAAUUGUUUCGUUUCCAUGGACACGUAUUCCGAUGAGUUCAAGUCAAAAAGAAGGAAAUUGAGAACCGAAAAUAAAUCGAGCAGCGCGACACGGAUACAGAUGGUUAGAGGAACUUCCGAUCAGGAUAAACGCGUGGAACGCGUCAAGGAUAAUGCGGAUGAGAUCGCACCACGUGGCCAAUCGACGGUAGAGCAUUUGAUGGAGAAAUACAAGUUGAACAAAGAUUCGAUAACGUUGGUUCCACGUAAUGCAAAUGAGAUCCCGCUGCGUGGCCAAUCAACAGUAGAAUAUUUGAUGGAGAAAUACAAGUUGAGCAAAGAUUCUAUAACGUUGGUGCCGCGGAGGAAAUAAUUGCGGGACAAUGCAAUUAUUGUGAAAUUAAUAAGAACGUUUAUUCGAUUAUAGUUGCAGUUUUAUUUUUUGAACAUUUUUAAUAUUUAAUCAAUUUGGGCGAUGUUAAUGUGAGACAAUCGAAUGUACAGGGUGUCCCAAAAAUGUUGUAACACCUUGAAAGAGGUGAUUCGGGAGGUGAUUUAAAACAACUUUUUCCUUAGCGAAAAUGUUGCCCGAGGCUUCGUUGAGGAGAUAUUAACGGAAAACACUGACCAAUCAGAGCGCGAGUAUGCCGGUGGAGUGUCCGAGGUAGCGUAUGAGCGAAGCCUACGCCUACUGCGGGCGCUCCACCGGCAUUCUCGCGCUU